rnacentral:Y_RNA from 1 species
GGCUGGUCCAAUGGCAGUGGUACUCAUAACUGAUUCACAGUCAGUUACAGAUUUCUUUGUUUUUUCUCCACUUCCACUGCUGCGCUUGACUAGUCUUUA